rnacentral:rRNA from 1 species
UACGGGGGGGGCAAGCGUUGUUCGGAAUUACUGGGCGUAAAGGGCUCGUAGGCGGCCAACUAAGUCAGACGUGAAAUCCCUCGGCUUAACCGGGGAACUGCGUCUGAUACUGGAUGGCUUGAAUCCGGGAGAGGGAUGCGGAAUUCCAGGUGUAGCGGUGAAAUGCGUAGAUAUCUGUAGGAACACCGGUGGCGAAGGCGGCAUCCUGGACCGGCAUUGACGCUGAGGAGCGAAAGCCAGGGGAGCAAACGGG